rnacentral:rRNA from 1 species
UUACGGGAGGCAGCAGUAGGGAAUUUUGCGCAAUGGACGAAAGUCUGACGCAGCAAUGCCGUGUGAGGGAUGAAGCAUUUUGGUGUGUAAACCUCUGUCGAUGAUGAAUAAAGCAUUGGGGAGUGGAAAGCCCCGGUGUUGAAGGUAAUCAUGAAGGAAGCACCGGCUAACUCUGUGCCAGCAGCCGCGGUAAU